CUACGGGGCGCUGCAGUGAGGAAUUUUGCGCAAUGGGGGAAACCCUGACGCAGCAACGCCGCGUGAGCGAAGAAGGCCCUCGGGUCGUAAAGCUCUGUCAAGUGGGAAAAAAGCCUUUUGAUCAAUACCCAAAAGGUUUGAUGGUACCACUGGAGGAAGCACCGGCUAACUCCGUGCCAGCAGCCGCGGUAAUACGGAGGGUGCAAGCGUUGUUCGGAAUUACUGGGCGUAAAGGGCGUGCAGGCGGUUUGGCAAGUCAGAUGUGAAAGCCCUGGGCUUAACCCGGGAAGUGCAUUUGAAACUGCCUUUCUUGAGUAUGGGAGAGGAGAGUGGAAUUCCCAGUGUAGAGGUGAAAUUCGUAGAUAUUGGGAGGAACACCCGUGGCGAAGGCGACUCUCUGGACCAAUACUGACGCUGAGACGCGAAAGCGUGGGGAGCAAACAGGAUUAGAUACCCUCGUAGUC
rnacentral:rRNA from 1 species